GCAUCUGUAGUCUAGUGGUUAUGAUUUCUGCUUUACAUGAUAUGUUCGCAGACGGUCCCAGGUUCGAUCCCUGGUAGAUGCA
rfam:Schizosaccharomyces cryophilus OY26 unplaced genomic scaffold supercont4.5, whole genome shotgun sequence.